CGGGACGACAACUGUUAAGAGUCUGUAAGCACUGGCUUUCAUCCAUGGCGGCUUUUCUUUCCUUAUCUUCAAUUUCUUUGACCAGAACGGCCACUGUUCUUCCUCAUUCAACCACUUCCUUCAAGGGAAAUGUGAGGCUAUUGAACUCAAAUCCGUUUAAUAUUUGUUCAUCUAGACUCAAAUUCACGGUCGCAGAUGGGAAACGAUUGGUUGUUCGCAGCCAGGCUGCUGCGGCUUCCCUGUCUGCUUCGUCCGGUGAGAGUGUGCGGUUCCGUCUCGAUAAUCUUGGACCGCAGGUAGGUUCGAGGAAGAAGGCGAAGAGGAAGGGGAGAGGUAUAUCGGCGGGACAGGGAGGUAGCUGUGGGUUUGGAAUGAGAGGACAGAAAUCAAGGUCUGGACCGGGUGUGAGAAGAGGAUUUGAAGGUGGACAAAUGCCUCUUUAUCGGAGAAUCCCUAAACUUCGAGGAAUUGCUGGAGGUAUGCAUGCUGGGUUACCUAAAUAUGUGCCGGUGAAUUUGAAAGACAUUGAAGCGGCAGGAUUUCAGGAAGGGGAACAGGUCACCUUGGAAACUUUGAAGGAGAAGGGUCUAAUCAACCCUUCGGGAAGAGAAAGGAAACUCCCAUUAAAGAUUUUAGCUGAUGGGGAGCUGAGUGUGAAGCUAAAUAUUAAAGCUCGGGCUUUUUCAUCAGCAGCAAAAGAGAAGCUUGAGGCUGCUGGCUGCACCCUUACUGUAUUACCUGGACGAAAGAAGUGGGUCAAGCCAUCAGUGGCUAAGAACCUCGCUCGAGCAGAAGAAUAUUUUGCAAAGAAAAGGGCUGCAGCAGCUGCUGCAGAACAAGCUACCGCAUGAAUGCUUGUGUAAAGUUGCAGUUUGGUGACAAAUUCCAGGCAUGUGCUUUAUUAAUCAUAUAUUGCUGGAUGACUCAUUUGCUGCCAUUCAAUAAUGCUCAUUUGCGUCGAGAGAAAUUUGAAAGCGACCACAAAACCAAAGGCUGCACCACUCAUGGUGGUGCCCUCUUAACAAAUUUGGAUUUGCUUUCCAGAAGCACUUCCCAGCACGUCUUAAAGAGCAGGGACGUCGGCCACCGUGGGAGCAUCGCUGGUUCCCAAAGGUUACCGUAAAAUUUGGAAGGGUUUUUGUUUACGUCAUUAUAUUUACUCCAAUUUAUAUUUGACUUUUUUUUAAAUUAUAUUUUGUUUUUGGGCGUCUGAACA